rnacentral:rRNA from 1 species
UAGGGAAUCUUCGGCAAUGGGGGGAACCCUGACCGAGCAACGCCGCGUGAGUGAAGAAGGUUUUCGGAUCGUAAAGCUCUGUUGUUAAGGAAGAACGAGUGUGAGAAUGGAAAGUUCAUGCUGUGACGGUACUUAACCAGAAAGGGACGGCUAACUACGUGCCAGCAGCCGCGGUAAUACGUAGGUCCGUAGCGUUGUCCGGAUUAAUUGGGCGUAAAGCGAGCGCAGGCGGUUAGAAAAGUCUGAAGUGAAAGGCGGUGGCUCAACCAUUGUAGGCUUUGGAAACUGUUUAACUUGAGUGCAGAAGGGGAGAGUGGAAUUCCAUGUGUAGCGGUGAAAUGCGUAGAUAUAUGGAGGAACACCGGUGGCGAAAGCGGCUCUCUGGUCUGUAACUGACGCUGAGGCUCGAAAGCGUGGGGAGCGAACAGG